GGCCUCAAAUCAGGUAGGACUACCCGCUGAACUUAAGCAUAUCAAUAAGCGGAGGAAAAGAAACUAACAAGGAUUCCCCUAGUAACGGCGAGUGAAGCGGGAAGAGCUCAAAUUUGAAAUCUGGUGGACUUUGUUCAUCCGAGUUGUAAUCUAGAGAAGUGUUUUCCGUGCUGGCCAAUGUACAAGUCCCUUGGAACAGGGCGUCAUAGAGGGUGAGAAUCCCGUACUUGACAUUGAUCACCGGUGCUCUGUGAUACACUUUCAAAGAGUCGAGUUGUUUGGGARUGCAGCUCAAAAUGGGUGGUAAAUUCCAUCUAAAGCUAAAUAUUGGCGAGAGACCGAUAGCGAACAAGUACCGUGAGGGAAAGAUGAAAAGCAC
rnacentral:rRNA from 1 species